CCUACGGGUGGCUGCAGUGAGGAAUAUUGGUCAAUGGACGCAAGUCUGAACCAGCCAUGCCGCGUGCAGGAAGACGGCUCUAUGAGUUGUAAACUGCUUUUGUACGAGGGUAAACGCAGAUACGCGUAUCUGUCUGAAAGUAUCGUACGAAUAAGGAUCGGCCAACUUCGUGCCAGGAGCCGAGGUAAGACGGAGGGUUCAAGCGUUGUCCGGAUUUUUUGGGUUUAAAGGGUGCGUAGGCGGUCGGAUAAGUUAGGGGUGAAAUCCCGAGGCUUAACUUCGGAAUUGCCUCUGAUACUGUUCGGCUAGAGAGUAGGUGCGGUAGGCGGAAUGUAUGGUGUAGCGGUGAAAUGCUUAGAGAUCAUACAGAACACCGAUUGCGAAGGCAGCUUACCAGGCUACAUCUGACGUUGAGGCACGAAAGCGUGGGGAGCAAACAGGAUUAGAUACCCUUGUAGUC
rnacentral:rRNA from 1 species